rnacentral:lncRNA from 1 species
GCCCAUUCGAUGGAUUCUCUUAUAACGUGUAGGGAUGUCAUUGUGAUCAUAUUUUAUGAAAAAGAAGAGCAAAUAAAUUUUCAUAAAUUAUUUUGAUCAUAAAUAAGUUUUGAUUAGAUCUAAAAUGAUUUAUGAUUCAUUAUAAUAAAAUAUUUUUAGAUAUAAAAUUAUUUUAAGAUCUGAAAAGUAUGUUACAUUAGAUGUAAUCAGU